CAGGCGGUUUGAUAAGUNUGAAGUUAAAGGCUGUGGCUCANCCAUAGUUCGCUUUGGAAACUGUCAAACUNGAGUGCAGAAGGGGAGAGUGGAAUUCCAUGUGUAGCGGUGAAAUGCGUAGAUAUAUGGAGGAACACCGGUGGCGAAAGCGGCUCUCUGGUCUGUAACUGACGCUGAGGCUCGAAAGCGUGGGGAGCGAACAGGAUUAGAUACCCUGGUAGUCCACGCCGUAAACGAUGAGUGCUAGGUGUUGGAUCCUUUCCGGGAUUCAGUGCCGCAGCUAACGCAUUAAGCACUCCGCCUGGGGAGUACGACCGCAAGGUUGAAACUCAAAGGAAUUGACGGGGGCCCGCACAAGCGGUGGAGCAUGUGGUUUAAUUCGAAGCGACGCGAAGAACCUUACCAGGUCUUGACAUCCCGAUGCUAUUUCUAGAGAUAGAAAGUUACUUCGGUACAUCGGUGACAGGUGGUGCAUGGUUGUCGUCAGCUCGUGUCGUGAGAUGUUGGGUUAAGUCCCGCAACGAGCGCAACCCCUAUUGUUAGUUGCCAUCAUUCAGUUGGGCACUCUAGCGAGACUGCCGGUAAUAAACCGGAGGAAGGUGGGGAUGACGUCAAAUCAUCAUGCCCCUUAUGACCUGGGCUACACACGUGCUACAAUGGUUGGUACAACGAGUUGCGAGUCGGUGACGGCAAGCUAAUCUCUUAAAGCCAAUCUCAGUUCGGAUUGUAGGCUGCAACUCGCCUACAUGAAGUCGGAAUCGCUAGUAAUCGCGGAUCAGCACGCCGCGGUGAAUACGUUCCCGGGCCUUGUACACACCGCCCGUCACACCACGAGAGUUUGUAACACCCGAAGUCGGUGAGGUAACCUUUUGGAGCC
rnacentral:rRNA from 1 species